ensembl:lncRNA
AUCCUGUGUGCGGGUCUGUCAUACACUCUAGAGGUCUUGUGGUAAAGUUGCUUUACGUACACGACUGGAAAAUGAGCCCCGUCUGAUUAGUAGUUUAGUGUUGCCAGAAAUAUCAAACACAGCAUGACUGCUGGGAAUAAGGGAGCUGAACAGUGACACAACAUACUGGCAGGCAGGACUGUGAUGUUCUGGACCCUGGACUAACCCCCUCUGGUAAAGGAGGAUUACUGUGCUGCUGAGGUGUAGUGGGGUUUAGUCCUGUUUCUACUGUGGGAUAGAUGGUGCUUUAGUCCUGUUCCUAAUGUUGUUUAGCAAUUUACUCCUGUUUCUUUUAUGGCAGGUGGUAUAAUCAGGGUACUGUAAAUAAGUGACUUUUUUCCUAAUAGUGAUCACCCUCAUAUUUAGUCAGCUGCUCCUACCUGUACAGUACUGACUGGGUCCUCCUGUCUCCUCUGUACAGUACUGACUGGGUCCUCCUGUCUCCUCUGUACAGUACUGACUGGGUCCUCCUGUCUCCUCUGUACAGUACUGACUGGGUCCAUCUGUCUCCUCUGUACAGUACUGACUGGGUUCUCUUUUGUCUCCUCAGUCAUGCUGUCUUGGAGCAGGUGUCACUGUGUUCUGCUGUUACAGCUGCUGACAGUCAUAGCUGGCUCUUUUCCUUCAGUAAAGGUGAAUCUUCAUGAUGCUGCUACUCUCCACUGCACUCAGACGUGUUCUGGUCUGGUCACAUGGACUUUAUAUCAUAAACCACAUGACAUUCUGGCUCAGUGUAACCAGACAUCCUGCCAGUCAAAGGAGGGAUUUCACAUGUCCCAUGAUCAGUACCUGAAGGGAGAUCUCUCCCUCACCAUCACUGAUGCUGAUUACACUAAGAGGACCUGGUACACCUGCGCCUGUAAUGGUAAAGACAUCUGUGAUGUGAGUCUGCAGAUAGAGGCCUGUAAUUCUUCAGUUCAGAUUAAGCCUGGUGAACCUCUGGUGCUGGAUUUGCUCAUAUCAGAGUCAGUUGAGGUGAUUUAUAACAGCACAGGUGCAGCUGCUCCCUCUAGUGGACAGAUCUGCACAGUGGCUGGACACUCACUGAAGUGUAAACCUGAAUACACUCGGAGAGUGUCGCUCAUCUCUGCUGUGGAGCUGAGAGGAACCGCACCAUCUGAUAGUGGAGUUUACAGCAUCAGAGACACUAAGAAUGAAGAGAUUAUUCAGACAUACACAGUUACUGUGGAAGGUAAGUGUGGUUACUGUGAUUUUAAUGUUGCCUA